rnacentral:rRNA from 1 species
AUUGAACGCUGGCGGCAGGCUUAACACAUGCAAGUCGAGCGGUAACAGAGAGAAGCUUGCUUCUCUGCUGACGAGCGGCGGACGGGUGAGUAAUGCCUAGGAAUCUGCCUAGUAGUGGGGGAUAACUUGCCGAAAGGUAAUCUAAUACCGCAUACGUCCUACGGGAGAAAGGAGGGGACCUUCGGGCCUUUCGCUAUUAGAUGAGCCCAGGUCGGAUUAGUUAGUUGGUGAGGUAUGGCUCACCAAGACCGCGAUCCGUAACUGGUCUGAGAGGAUGAUCAGUCACACUGGAACUGAGACGCGGUCCAGACUCCUACGGGAGGCAGCAGUGGGGAAUAUUGGACAAUGGGGGGAACCCUGAUCCAGCCAUGCCGCGUGUGUGAAGAAGGUCUUAGGAUUGUAAAGCACUUUAAGUUGGGAGGAAGAGCAGUUAACUAAUAUUUGACUGUUUUGACGUUACCGACAGAAUAAGCACCGGCUAACUUCGUGCCAGCAGCCGCCGUAA